UGAGGAAUAUUGGUCAAUGGACGCAAGUCUGAACCAGCCAUGCCGCGUGCAGGAUGACGGCUCUAUGAGUUGUAAACUGCUUUUGUACGAGGGUAAACGCAGAUACGUGUAUCUGUCUGAAAGUAUCGUACGAAUAAGGAUCGGCUAACUCCGUGCCAGCAGCCGCGGCAAUACGGAGGAUUCAAGCGUUAUCCGGAUUUAUUGGGUUUAAAGGGUGCGUAGGCGGUUUGAUAAGUUAGAGGUGAAAUUUCGGGGCUCAACCCUGAACGUGCCUCUAAUACUGUUGAGCUAGAGAGUAGUUGCGGUAGGCGGAAUGUAUGGUGUAGCGGUGAAAUGCUUAGAGAUCAUACAGAACACCGAUUGCGAAGGCAGCUUACCAAACUAUAUCUGACGUUGAGGCACGAAAGCGUGGGGAGCAAACAGGAUUAGAUACCCUGGUAGUCCACGCAGUAAACGAUGAUAACUCGUUGUCGGCGAUACACAGUCGGUGACUAAGCGAAAGCGAUAAGUUAUCCACCUGGGGAGUACGUUCGCAAGAAUGAAACUCAAAGGAAUUGACGGGGGCCCGCACAAGCGGAGGAACAUGUGGUUUAAUUCGAUGAUACGCGAGGAACCUUACCCGGGCUUGAAAGUUAGCGACGAUUCUUGAAAGAGGAUUUCCCUUCGGGGCGCGAAACUAGGUGCUGCAUGGUUGUCGUCAGCUCGUGCCGUGAGGUGUCGGGUUAAGUCCCAUAACGAGCGCAACCCCUACCGUUAGUUGCCAUCAGGUGAAGCUGGGCACUCUGGCGGGACUGCCGGUGUAAGCCGAGAGGAAGGUGGGGAUGACGUCAAAUCAGCACGGCCCUUACGUCCGGGGCUACACACGUGUUACAAUGGUAGGUACAGAGGGCAGCUACCCAGCGAUGGGAUGCGAAUCUCGAAAGCCUAUCUCAGUUCGGAUUGGAGGCUGAAACCCGCCUCCAUGAAGUUGGAUUCGCUAGUAAUCGCGCAUCAGCCAUGGCGCGGUGAAUACGUUCCC
rnacentral:rRNA from 1 species